rnacentral:rRNA from 1 species
CUACGGGGGGCUCCAGUGGGGAAUAUUGCACAAUGGAGGAAACUCUGAUGCAGCAACGCCGCGUGGAGGAUGACACAUUUCGGUGCGUAAACUCCUUUUAUAUGAGAAGAUAAUGACGGUAUCAUAUGAAUAAGCACCGGCUAACUCCGUGCCAGCAGCCGCGGUAAUACGGGGGGUGCAAGCGUUACUCGGAAUCACUGGGCGUAAAGCGAGCGCAGGCGGAUAGAUAAGUUGGAAGUGAAAUCCUAUGGCUUAACCAUAGAACUGCUUCCAAAACUGUCUAUCUAGAAUAUGGGAGAGGUAGAUGGAAUUUCUGGUGUAGGGGUAAAAUCCGUAGAGAUCAGAAGGAAUACCGAUUGCGAAGGCGAUCUACUGGGACAUUAUUGACGCUGAGGCUCGAAAGCGUGGGGAGCAAACAGGAUUAGAUACCCCGGUAGUC